CCCUUAGAUGUUCUGGGCCGCACGCGCGCUACACUGAUGAAUGCAACGAGCUCUACCCUUGACCGAAAGGCCCGGGUAAACUUGUGAAACUUCAUCGUGAUGGGGAUAGAUUAUUGCAAUUAUUAAUCUUCAACGAGGAAUUCCUAGUAAGCGCGAGUCAUCAGCUCGCGUUGAUUACGUCCCUGCCCUUUGUACACACCGCCCGUCGCUCCUACCGAUUGAAUGGUCCGGUGAAAUCUUCGGAUUGCUGACCAAGAUCCAGCAAUGGAGCUUGGUUGCGAGAAGUUGAUUAAACCUUAUUAUUUAGAGGAAGGAGCAGUCGUAACA
rnacentral:rRNA from 1 species